CCAAUUUGUGUUGAGAGUAAAACACUUGUCAAAAUAGUUGCCUUUAUUACAUGCAUGACACCACAAUGCUUGUGUUGGACACAUCUGAAUUGUAUUGCAAUUACCUCCAUAUUUAUUGCAAAAAAAUCUAGUCUCUCUCAUUUCACCCAUUGUAUUCUGACUUUUAUGUCUUGAUAUCUACCUAACUGGAUGCAUUUAAGUUUUUUUCACAGCUUACUAAGCACUCAGGGCCGGCUCUAAGCACCAGCAAAACAAGCAGGUGCUCCGGGAGGCACAUUUCUAGGGUCGGCAUUCCGGUGUCGGCCAUGCAGCCCCUAGAAAUGUACCCCCGCCGCCCCAGCUAGCCUCCGGUCAGCCACCGCCUGCUCCCCUAAGCAUACCGCCACCGCCACUCCGCUUCUCCCCCCUCCCUCCCAGGCUUACCGCUUGUGAAACAACUGUUUCGCGUGGCAAGCCUGGGAGGGAGGGAGAAGCCUAGCAGCGGCGUGUUCAGGGGAGCAGGCGGAGCGGAGGAAAAGAAGACAGCAACACCACAUAUUCUCCAUCUGAUAGUCACGGAGGCUAUGACUGAUUCUGACAGCAGGGUGGAGCCAGAUGUUUUUUCAGGAUUGCCACUGCUGAAGGCAAGGGGAAAUUCCCUACAGACCCAACCAAUGCAAAAAACAACAGAACAAAACCCACAAGACAACCCCCCACCCCCACCCCCCAAAAAAAAACAAACAAAAACCAAAAUCCCACAACUGUUUCUCUUCAUCCUGGAGGCUGAGCAUGUUGCCUCCCCUGCACUGUAAUACUAGUACAUAUUGCCUGAAUGGAUGAAAGUGCUCAGAGUUUAAAGGAUGGAAGCCUACUACUUGAAAACUGACAGUCAGGGUGAAAUAAAAUGCACUGUUUAGACUUCUUUAAAGAAACGACUUGACAAAGUAAAACUGAAAAUGUGUGUGCGCGCGGAGGAGGGGGUGCGAGGGAAGAUGAACAACGGGCAGUAAAAUACUAGAUCCUUGAGAUUUUGUCAGCCAGAGACCUUCGCUAAUUUCUGUUGAUAGAGUCAGCCCUU